CACGUAGGGCGCAAGCGUUGUCCGGAAUUAUUGGGCGUAAAGAGCUCGUAGGCGGUCUGUCGCGUCGGAUGUGAAAACACGGGGCUCAACCCCGUGCCUGCAUUCGAUACGGGCAGACUAGAGUUCGGUAGGGGAGACUGGAAUUCCUGGUGUAGCGGUGAAAUGCGCAGAUAUCAGGAGGAACACCGGUGGCGAAGGCGGGUCUCUGGGCCGAUACUGACGCUGAGGAGCGAAAGCGUGGGGAGCGAACAGG
rnacentral:rRNA from 1 species